CGGGGCGUGGCGCAGCUCGGAAGCGCACCUGCUUUGGGAGCAGGGGGUCGCUGGUUCAAAUCCAGUCGCCCCGACCA
rnacentral:tRNA from 2 species